CACACACACACACACACACAAUCUUAUAUCCUCUCCUUUGAAACAGCUGGUUCUCUCAUAAAUGAGUUCUGAAGCGUGGAAGUCAAAGACCAAGACGCUGGCAGCGCCGUUUCUGAGGUAGUGGGAAGAACAGACUGAUGCUGGGAAACAUAGCUAUACACCUAAAGUGCAUUGUCUCAUGGCCAAAGUAAGUGAAGAAGGAGGACUUUG